rnacentral:rRNA from 1 species
AGCGAACGCUGGCGGCAGGCUUAACACAUGCAAGUCGAACGGGCGUAGCAAUACGUCAGUGGCAGACGGGUGAGUAACGCGUGGGAACGUACCUUUUGGUUCGGAACAACCCAGGGAAACUUGGGCUAAUACCGGAUAAGCCCUUACGGGGAAAGAUUUAUCGCCGAAAGAUCGGCCCGCGUCUGAUUAGCUAGUUGGUGUGGUAACGGCGCACCAAGGCGACGAUCAGUAGCUGGUCUGAGAGGAUGAUCAGCCACAUUGGGACUGAGACACGGCCCAAACUCCUACGGGAGGCAGCAGUGGGGAAUAUUGGACAAUGGGCGCAAGCCUGAUCCAGCCAUGCCGCGUGAGUGAUGAAGGCCCUAGGGUUGUAAAGCUCUUUUGUGCGGGAAGAUAAUGACGGUACCGCAAGAAUAAGCCCCGG